GAUGAACGCUGGCGGCGUGCUUAACACAUGCAAGUCGAACGAUGAAGCCCAGCUUGCUGGGUGGAUUAGUGGCGAACGGGUGAGUAACACGUGAGUAACCUGCCCUUCACUCUGGGAUAAGCCUGGUAAACUGGGUCUAAUACCGGAUAGGAGCGUCCACCGCAUGGUGGGUGUUGGAGAGAUUUAUCGGUUUUGGAUGGACUCGCGGCCUAUCAGCUUGUUGGUGAGGUAAUGGCUCACCAAGGCGACGACGGGUAGCCGGCCUGAGAGGGUGACCGGCCACACUGGGACUGAGACACGGCCCAGACUCCUACGGGAGGCAGCAGUGGGGAAUAUUGCACAAUGGGCGCAAGCCUGAUGCAGCGACGCCGCGUGAGGGAUGACGGCCUUCGGGUUGUAAACCUCUUUCAGUAGGGAAGAAGCGAAAGUGACGGUACCUGCAGAAGAAGCACCGGCUAACUACGUG
rnacentral:rRNA from 1 species